rnacentral:rRNA from 1 species
GUGUCGUCAGCUCGUGUCGUGAGAUGUUGGGUUAAGUCCCGCAACGAGCGCAACCCUUGUCUCUAGUUGCCAGUAUUAAGUUAGGGACUCUAGAGAGACUGCCUCGGUUAACGGGGAGGAAGUGGGAUGACGUCAAGUCCUCAUGGCCUUUAUACCCAGGGCUACACACGUGCUACAAUGGGCUGCACAAAGGGUCGCUAGCUCGCGAGAGUGCGCUAAUCCCAAAAAGCAGUUCUCAGUUCGGAUUGGAGUCUGCAACUCGACUCCAUGAAGUUGGAAUCGCUAGUAAUCGUGGAUCAGCACGCCACGGUGAAUACGUUCCCGGGCCUU